UACCUUAUAGUUUAAUGGUAAAGCAGUUAUCUUCGAAAUAAAAGAAUAAAGGUUCGAGUCCUUUUUAGGUAA
rnacentral:tRNA from 1 species